rnacentral:lncRNA from 1 species
UUUAUUUGAGUCGACAAGUUAAGGUAUAUAUAAUUUCGUGGACGAAAUUAUUUUAAGGGGUGGAGAAUGUAAUAUAGCGAGAAUUCGAAAAAUAAAUAUCGAACAUUAGUCAAAUUGACCAAAGUGCGAGGAUGGUACACUUCGGAAAGUCCGAAUGUGUUAUAAUGAUCAAAAGUGCAUUGCGGGAGGUUUUCGAGAGCUAGAGAAUCAAAAAUCUGCAUUAUGCAGGUCUUGUGCUCCCGGGGACCGAUCCCUGAAGGAGCGACCGAUCCCCGUACGCGUGGAAGAUGAGAAAAAGGAAAAAAUCGGCUAAGUCCCUGAGAUCAGGCUCUCGGGAACCGGUCCCUGUUGGAGAGACCGGUCCCCGAGAGACCGGUCCCCCAAAGAGAGACCGGUCGCAUUGCGCGGGAGCCCUGGCUGCCGCAGGGAGGAGCUACGGGAACCGGUCCUUGGUCGGGGAGACCGGUCCCCGCACACGAAAUCUGCUCAGUUUGGGCAGUUUAAUAAAAUAAAAGUUGAGGGACCCAAAUGCAAUUAUGCAUCUUAUGGGGUUAUGUUAAGGGGCAAAUAGGAUAUUUCUCUCAUUUCACUCCCUCUCACACACACAGUCUUUCCUCUCUU